UAUUUACAUAACAUGAUGAUACCAUAGUUCAUCUGAUAACCAUGGUGACAAAUUGUGUUUGUCUUUCGCUCCUAUCUGAUAUAAUAU